GAUGAACGCUGGCGGCGUGCCUAAUACAUGCAAGUCGAGCGAACAGACGAGGAGCUUGCUCCUCUGACGUUAUCGGCGGACGGGUGAGUAACACGUGGAUAACCUACCUAUAAGACUGGGAUAACUUCGGGAAACCGGAGCUAAUACCGGAUAAUAUAUUGAACCGCAUGGUUCAAUAGUUAAAGACGGUUUUGCUGUCACUUAUAGAUUGAUCCGCGCCGAAUUAGCUAGUUGGUAAGGUAACGGCUUACCAAGGCGACGAUGCGUAGCCGACCUGAAGGGGACAACGGAAAGAUGGGAAGAGAGGAAGGGACGAGACACUGGGGGGGAGACACAGUAGGGAAUCUUACGCAAUGGAGGAAAGCGUAACAGAGGAAAGCGGGGGAAAGGAUGAAGGAGUUAGGAUGGGAGAACGAUGUAGUAAGGAAAGAAGAAAUGUGUAAGUAACUGGGAAGGUAAUGACGGUACCGGAUCAAAAAGCCACGGCUAACUACGUG
rnacentral:rRNA from 1 species